AGAGUUUGAUCCUGGCUCAGAACGAACGCUGGCGGCAUGCCUAACACAUGCAAGUCGAACGAGACCUUCGGGUCUAGUGGCGCACGGGUGCGUAACGCGUGGGAACCUGCCCUUAGGUUCGGAAUAACUCCUCGAAAGGGGUGCUAAUACCGGAUAAUGUCUUCGGACCAAAGAUUUAUCGCCUUUGGAUGGGCCCGCGUUGGAUUAGCUAGUUGGUGGGGUAAAGGCCUACCAAGGCGACGAUCCAUAGCUGGUCUUAGAGGAUGAUCAGCCACACUGGGACUGAGACACGGCCCAGACUCCUACGGGAGGCAGCAGUGGGGAAUAUUGGACAAUGGGCGAAAGCCUGAUCCAGCAAUGCCGCGUGAGUGAUGAAGGCCUUAGGGUUGUAAAGCUCUUUUACCCGGGAUGAUAAUGACAGUACCGGGAGAAUAAGCCCCGGCUAACUCCGUGCCAGCAGCCGCGGUAAUACGGAGGGGGCUAGCGUUGUUCGGAAAUACUGGGCGUAAAGCGAACGUAGGCGGCUUAGCAAGUCAGGGGUGAAAUCCCAGAGCUCAACUCUGGAACUGCCUUUGAAACUGCUUCGCUUGAAUCCUGGAGAGGCGAGUGGAAUUCCGAGUGUAGAGGUGAAAUUCGUAGAUAUUCGGAAGAACACCAGUGGCGAAGGCGACUCGCUGGACAGGUAUUGACGCUGAGGUUCGAAAGUGUGGGGAGCAAACAGGAUUAGAUACCCUAGUAGUCC
rnacentral:rRNA from 1 species